UACGGGAUCUGACUCAUAGUAGAUUUAUUGAUCGGCACUUGGAAACUUAUCAGUAUUUUGCCACGGACAAACAAAUACUUCAAUUCAGUGUCCAAUAUUUACCUCACAUUAUUGUUAUCUUAGGAGAUAUUUCUUUCCAGUUUUAUCUUAGUUGGUACUUUAAACUUCCUAGUGUAAAAUUUACAAACUGAUAAGUUUUUGAAGUAAACUAGUUGGGGGAAUUUCUGUCAUUUUUUUUUUAUUCAGAGCACUGUUGUAUGUACUAUAUUCAGUUAUUGCUAAUCAAGUUGAAAAAAUGUAUUCCGUGACACCUGGGAUAUUAUUGACUACGCUAAUCAUUUCCACAAUACCGCCGAGUCUAGAUGCCGAUGUUGAUGUGGUUCACAGAGUAAAACGCGGCGGCAUGUUCUGUAAGUAUCUAAACUUUGAUUACCGCCUUAAUUCCCCGACCAAAAUCAUGAAAGUAGACUUUAAGCCAAAUGUGCUCUGAAAGAUCUCAGUGCGAGCAAUUUAGUGUGUUGUCUAAAGACAUCGUAGAUAGUGUGAGAAAUACUUAGCCUAAAGAUUAAAUCAUUCUCGUCUAAUAUCUGACACGCUUUCAAGAAAAAAAAAGAAA